AGCAGCCGCGGUAAUUCCAGCUCCAAUAGCGUAUAUUAAAGUUGUUGCAGUUAAAAAGCUCGUAGUUGAAUUUCGGGGUCAAUACGUCGGUCGUGCCUUCGGUACGUACUGGUGUUAUUGAUCUCUCCCUUCUGACGAAUCAUGAUGUCAUUAAUUUGGUGUCGUGGGGAGUCAGGACUGUUACUUUGAAAAAAUUAGAGUGUUUAAAGCAGGCUAGCGCCUGAAUACAUUAGCAUGGAAUAAUGAAAUAGGACGUUCGAUCCUAUUUUGUUGGUUUCUAGGAUUGACGUAAUGAUUAAUAGGGAUAGUUGGGGGCAUUAGUAUUCAAUUGUCAGAGGUGAAAUUCUUGGAUUUAUUGAAGACUAACUACUGCGAAAGCAUUUGCCAAGGAUGUUUUCAUUAAUCAAGAACGAAAGUUAGGGGAUCGAAGACGAUCAGAUACCGUCGUAG
rnacentral:rRNA from 1 species